AGACCCGAAACCCGGUGAUCUAGCCAUGGGCAGGUUGAAGGUUGGGUAACACUAACUGGAGGACCGAACCGACUAAUGUUGAAAAAUUAGCGGAUGACCUGUGGCUGGGGGUGAAAGGCCAAUCAAACCGGGAGAUAGCUGGUUCUCCCCGAAAGCUAUUUAGGUAGCGCCUCGUGAAUUCAUCUCCGGGGGUAGAGCACUGUUUCGGCUAGGGGGCCAUCCCGGCUUACCAACCCGAUGCAAACUGCGAAUACCGGAGAAUGUUAUCACGGGAGACACACGGCGGGUGCUAACGUCCGUCGUGAAGAGGGAAACAACCCAGACCGCCAGCUAAGGUCCCAAAGUCAUGGUUAAGUGGGAAACGAUGUGGGAAGGCCCAGACAGCCAGGAUGUUGGCUUAGAAGCAGCCAUCAUUUAAAGAAAGCGUAAUAGCUCACUGGUCGAGUCGGCCUGCGCGGAAGAUGUAACGGGGCUAAACCAUGCACCGAAGCUGCGGCAGCGACACUGUGUGUUGUUGGGUAGGGGAGCGUUCUGUAAGCCUGUGAAGGUGUGUCGUGAGGCAUGCUGGAGGUAUCAGAAGUGCGAAUGCUGACAUAAGUAACGAUAAAGCGGGUGAAAAGCCCGCUCGCCGGAAGACCAAGGGUUCCUGUCCAACGUUAAUCGGGGCAGGGUGAGUCGACCCCUAAGGCGAGGCCGAAAGGCGUAGUCGAUGGGAAACGGGUUAAUAUUCCCGUACUUGGUGUUACUGCGAAGGGGGGACGGAGAAGGCUAUGUUGGCCGGGCGACGGUUGUCCCGGUUUAAGCGUGUAGGUGUGUGUUCCAGGUAAAUCCGGUUCACUUUAACACUGAGGCGUGACGACGAGGCACUACGGUGCUGAAGCAACAAAUGCCCUGCUUCCAGGAAAAGCCUCUAAGCAUCAGGUAACAUCAAAUCGUACCCCAAACCGACACAGGUGGUCAGGUAGAGAAUACCAAGGCGCUUGAGAGAACUCGGGUGAAGGAACUAGGCAAAAUGGUGCCGUAACUUCGGGAGAAGGCACGCUGACACGUAGGUGAAGUGAUUUACUCAUGGAGCUGAAGUCAGUCGAAGAUACCAGCUGGCUGCAACUGUUUAUUAAAAACACAGCACUGUGCAAACACGAAAGUGGACGUAUACGGUGUGACGCCUGCCCGGUGCCGGAAGGUUAAUUGAUGGGGUCAGCGCAAGCGAAGCUCCUGAUCGAAGCCCCGGUAAACGGCGGCCGUAACUAUAACGGUCCUAAGGUAGCGAAAUUCCUUGUCGGGUAAGUUCCGACCUGCACGAAUGGCGUAAUGAUGGCCAGGCUGUCUCCACCCGAGACUCAGUGAAAUUGAACUCGCUGUGAAGAUGCAGUGUACCCGCGGCAAGACGGAAAGACCCCGUGAACCUUUACUAUAGCUUGACACUGAACAUUGAGCCUUGAUGUGUAGGAUAGGUGGGAGGCUUUGAAGUGUGG
rnacentral:rRNA from 1 species